UUUCAACUGUGAGGGGAUCAGUUUCCCUAAACCCACAUUGUUCAGGGGUCAAUUGUACAACUAUAGUCAGAGUAAUCAAAAAUUCCACCAAACAGACACAGACACACACACAUGCACACACACACACACUCACACUUGCAGGUUAUUCAAACAGUUGUGAGGUAGACCUAACAAAGAAACUUUCUCUGCUCCCUUUGCUCCUGCAAACUUCAAAUCCUUCUGAAUACAAACAUCUGUGAUUUAGUGCGAUCAUUUCACCCAUUAAAAUGAUCUGAGUAGGCAAACGAACCAACUGCUUGAUGAUUGUGGUCAGCAGUCUCCAAAGUGGCCCUCCAAUGACCUACGCAUUCCUCUACUCAUGACUGUAGAUAAUCCCCUCCCAUUGAACUUGGACUGGCCCCAUGACUCACUCACAACGGACAGAAUGAAGCAGAAGUGAUCCUCCAGGAAUUCCAAAGCCAGGCUCACAAAAGCCUUGCAGCCCCUACCUUGGUCUCUUAUAGCAUUUCCUCAGGAGGGAAACAAGCUGCCAUAUGAGAAAACGGACUACUACUUCCACUUCUUCACAACAUGAGACACCCCCAUGCUGUGCACAAGACCAAGCUAGCCACACAUUGAGACCAUUGGAGAGAGAAAGAUCCAACAGCCUGCAGGUGUUCCAGCCUCAAAGCUGGACAUACAAGGAAUAGAAGCUUCAGAUGUCUCCGCAUCAGCAACUAUCUGACUGCAACCACAUGAGAUAAAGAAAUCAACGCUUGGCGUGGUGGCUCAUGCCUGUAAUCCUAGCCCUUUAGGGGGCCGAGGCUGGUGGAUCACGAGGUCAAGAGAUCGAGACCAUCCUGGCCAACGUGGUGAAACCCCAUCUCUACUAAAAAUACAAAAAUUAGCUGGGCAUGGUGGCAUAUGCCUGUAGUCCCAGCUACUCGGGAGGCUGAGGUGGAAGAAUUGCUUGAACCAGGAGGUGGAGGUUGCAGUGAGCCGAGAUCAUUCCACUGCACUCCAGCCUGGCAACACAGUGAGACUCUGUCUCAGAAACAAAAAGAAAGAAAGAAAUCAAGACUCAGCAACAUUAAGCAACAUGCAGAAACUGCACAGAUAACUAACAA
rnacentral:lncRNA from 1 species